rnacentral:rRNA from 1 species
AUGCGCAGCUUACCAUGCAAGUCGAACGGUAGCACGGAAGAGCUUGCUCUUUGGGUGACGAGUGGCUGGACGGGUGAGUAAUGUCUGGGGAUCUGCCCGGCAGAGGGGGAUAACUACUGGAAACGGUAGCUAAUACCGCAUAACCUCGCAAGAGCAAAGAGGGGGACCUUCGGGCCUCUCGCUGUCGGAUGAACCCAGAUGGGAUUAGCUAGUAGGUGAGGUAACGGCUCACCCAGGCGACGAUCCCUAGCUGGUCUGAGAGGAUGACCAGCCACACUGGAACUGAGACACGGUCCAGACUCCUACGGGAGGCAGCAGUGGGGAAUAUUGCACAAUGGGCGCAAGCCUGAUGCAGCCAUGCCGCGUGUAUGAAGAAGGCCUUCGGGUUGUAAAGUACUUUCAGCGGGGAGGAAGGGUUGUGGGCGAAUACCCUGCGACAUUGACGUUACCCGCAGAAGAAGCACCGGCUAACUCCGUGCCAGCAGCCGCGGUAAUACGGAGGGUGCGAGCGUUAAUCGGAAUUACUGGGCGUAAAGCGCACGCAGGCGGUCUGUCAAGUCAGAUGUGAAAUCCCCGGGCUUAACCUGGGAACUGCAUUUGAAACUGGCAGGCUGGAGUCUUGUAGAGGGGGGUAGAAUUCCAGGUGUAGCGGUGAAAUGCGUAGAGAUCUGGAGGAAUACCGGUGGCGAAGGCGGCCCCCUGGACAAAGACUGACGCUCAGGUGCGAAAGCGUGGGGAGCAAACAGGAUUAGAUACCCUGGUAGUCCACGCUGUAAACGAUGUCGACUUGGAGGUUGUGCCCUUGAG